rnacentral:rRNA from 1 species
GAUGAACGCUGGCGGCAUGCCUAAUACAUGCAAGUCGAACGGACUAGUUUACUAGUCAGUGGCGAACGGGUGAGUAACACGUAAGUAAUCAACCCCUAAGACGAGGAUAACGUUUGGAAACGAGCGCUAAUACUGGAUAGGAGUACGAAUCAAAAGAGAUGUACUUUAAAGGUCCUCAUGGGACCGCUAAGGGAUGAGCUUGCGGCGCAUUAGAUAGUUGGGGAGGUAAUGGCUCACCAAGUCAACGAUGCGUAGCUGGGCUGAGAGGCCGAACAGCCACACUGGGACUGAGACACGGCCCAGACUCCUACGGGAGGCAGCAGUAGGGAAUUUUCGGCAAUGGGCGAAAGCCUGACCGAGCAAUGCCGCGUGAAUGAAGAAGGUCUUCGGAUUGUAAAGUUCUGUUAUUGGGAAAGAACACUAUUCAUAGGAAAUGAUGAAUAGAUGACGGUACCCAAUGAGAAAGCCCCGGCUAACUACGUG